AGGGCACGGACAUGAGCAAUGGGCCUACUAGAAACUUCAUCGCCAUGGCUAAUACUGCUUUUCUGGUACCACAGGCAAUCACUCUGGGUUGUGAAGCCAUGAAUAGGCCUGACCAGAAAAAGAUUAAAGAGAUCUUCGAUGGAGGAAUAAAGAAGUGCAUUGCAAGAGAAGGUUUGGAAUCUUGCAAAGUUAGUGAAUCUAUCCGAUCACUCGGCCUAGGUUGCUGUUGAGCGUCGACAAGUGGGCCAUUGGUAAGAAAUUUUCAGCUCAAAUUUGUUCGAAUUCUUUAAUAUGCUUUCAGAGAUAUCAGACAGAUGGGGCCAUUACUAUUAUUAUUUUUAUUUAUUCUUGUUUUUAUUCCCUAGGAACAAAGAAUGUCGACCUUUUUUUCCACUUACUAUUAUAACUAUUGAAAUAAGCUGUGAGUUUUGUAGGGAUGGUGUAUUUAUCAAUCUCUAAUUUUGAUAACACAUGGAAUUAUUCCGAGGUCAUCUGUCGCAGAAUGGCAUAUACUGUGAGGUAAGGAAACAUAAAAUCAAACACUAUUUGCAAAUUAGGACUAUUGGUAAUGUUUUAUCUUGAUAUUUGUUACAAAUGCAUAUUUAUAUGUUGGCGUUGACAAUAACCAAUUUCAAAGAUUAAAUAAUAUAGGAAAUCUAGGAAAAGUUUAGGUGGUUGAGUGUGGUUUCAAUACGUGUGCUUUUCUCCCUUUUCUUUCUAGUGAGUAUUUCAUUUUCUAUCAAUUUGCUCCGCAUGAAAUAUCUUUUGUCAAAAGAAUAAGUGAGGCCAAAUUCAAUAAAGAGUAUAUAUAAGGGUAUGCAAUUAUUUUAGCACUUAAUUUCAAUUUGAAGCUAACUAAAUGUUAAGUGGAAUUUAUAAUAUCUUUUUCUCUUAAGAAUAGUAAACGUUUUGAAUGCAACCUAGGGGGUUUAUCUACGUGCUCAAUAUCUUCAUUAGUUUUAAGUGUUCAUGUGAAAUAUUACUAGUUAUUUUUAUUAAUUAUUAUAGAAUGCAUGUGUAUACAUUUCCAUACUUGAUUAUACUAAGAAGUAAGGAAUAUUUUAAUUUUGUCGCCUGACUACCUUUUGUUGAGCUCUCUUUAUUUCAUGUUAUUAGUAUAUAUAGGUACCUAAUUAUCCUAGAAUAUAGCUUAAGAUCAGCAGCUUGGCACAUUUGAUUUCUUUUCGUAAAGGUAUCUCUAUUAGCUAGAGUGACGACUCAUCCUCACCUGCCGACCCAUAUAUUUAUGUUUUUAUAUACUACUACUGUGCGUUAGCGUUACAUCAAUACAUAAGCUUGGUUUCAUUUUAAUUACCCAAGUAAUUUCCACUAUCUCUGGACUCUGGAUAUUGUAUAUC